CCUACGGGUUGCACCAGUGGGGAAUAUUGCACAAUGGGCGCAAGCCUGAUGCAGCCAUGCCGCGUGUAUGAAGAAGGCCUUCGGGUUGCGAAGUACUUUCAGCGGGGAGGAAGGUGUUGAGGUUAAUAACCUCGGCAAUUGACGUUACCCGCAGAAGAAGCACCGGCUAACUCCGUGCCAGCAGCCGCGGUAAUACGGAGGGUGCAAGCGUUAAUCGGAAUUACUGGGCGUAAAGCGCACGCAGGCGGUCUGUCAAGUCGGAUGUGAAAUCCCCGGGCUCAACCUGGGAACUGCAUUCGAAACUGGCAGGCUAGAGUCUUGUAGAGGGGGGUAGAAUUCCAGGUGUAGCGGUGAAAUGCGUAGAGAUCUGGAGGAAUACCGGUGGCGAAGGCGGCCCCCUGGACGAAGACUGACGCUCAGGUGCGAAAGCGUGGGGAGCAAACAGGAUUAGAUACCCGCGUAGUC
rnacentral:rRNA from 1 species